rnacentral:tRNA from 1 species
GCGCCCGUAGCUCAGUUGGAUAGAGUACUGCGCUUCGAACGCAGUGGUCGGGAGUUCGAGUCUCUCCGGGCGCGCCA